GGACCGUGUAUAAGUCUCCUGGGAUGGGGCGUCAUAGAGGGUGAGAAUCCCGUCUUUGACACGGAUUACCAGUGCAUUGUGGUAUGCUCUCAAAGAGUCGAGUUGUUUGGGAAUGCAGCUCAAAAUGGGUGGUAAAUUCCAUCUAAAGCUAAAUAUUGGCGAGAGACCGAUAGCGAACAAGUACCGUGAGGGAAAGAUGAAAAGAACUUUGGAAAGAGAGUUAAACAGUACGUGAAAUUGCUGAAAGGGAAACGCUUGAAGUCAGUCGCGUUGGCCAGGGAUCAGCCUUGCUUUUGCAUGGUGUACUUUCUGGUUGACGGGUCAGCAUCAAUUUUGACCACUGGAAAAGGCUCAAGGGAAUGUGGCAGCUUCGGCUGUGUUAUAGCCCUUGUUCACAUACAGUGGUUGGGAUUGAGGAACUCAGCACGCCGCAAGGCCGGGUUUCGACCACGUUCGUGCUUAGGAUGCUGGCAUAAUGGCUUUAAGCGACCCGUCUUGAAACACGGACCAAGGAGUCUAACAUGCCUGCGAGUAUUUGGGUGGAAAACCCAAGUGCGCAAUGAAAGUGAAAGUUGAGAUCCCUGUCGUGGGGAGCAUCGACGCCCGGACCAGAACUUUUGGGACGGAUCCGCGGUGGAGCAUGUAUGUUGGGACCCGAAAGAUGGUGAACUAUGCCUGAAUAGGGUGAAGCCAGAGGAAACUCUGGUGGAGGCUCGUAGCGAUUCUGACGUGCAAAUCGAUCGU
rnacentral:rRNA from 1 species